UGCAAGUCGAACGAACUCUGGUAUUGAUUGGUGCUUGCAUCAUGAUUUACAUUUGAGUGAGUGGCGAACUGGUGAGUAACACGUGGGAAACCUGCCCAGAAGCGGGGGAUAACACCUGGAAACAGAUGCUAAUACCGCAUAACAACUUGGACCGCAUGGUCCGAGUUUGAAAGAUGGCUUCGGCUAUCACUUUUGGAUGGUCCCGCGGCGUAUUAGCUAGAUGGUGGGGUAACGGCUCACCAUGGCAAUGAUACGUAGCCGACCUGAGAGGGUAAUCGGCCACAUUGGGACUGAGACACGGCCCAAACUCCUACGGGAGGCAGCAGUAGGGAAUCUUCCACAAUGGACGAAAGUCUGAUGGAGCAACGCCGCGUGAGUGAAGAAGGGUUUCGGCUCGUAAAACUCUGUUGUUAAAGAAGAACAUAUCUGAGAGUAACUGUUCAGGUAUUGACGGUAUUUAACCAGAAAGCCACGGCUAACUACGUGCCAGCAGCCGCGGUAAUACGUAGGUGGCAAGCGUUGUCCGGAUUUAUUGGGCGUAAAGCGAGCGCAGGCGGUUUUUUAAGUCUGAUGUGAAAGCCUUCGGCUCAACCGAAGAAGUGCAUCGGAAACUGGGAAACUUGAGUGCAGAAGAGGACAGUGGAACUCCAUGUGUAGCGGUGAAAUGCGUAGAUAUAUGGAAGAACACCAGUGGCGAAAGCGGCUGUCUGGUCUGUAACUGACGCUGAGGCUCGAAAGUAUGGGUAGCAAACAGGAUUAGAUACCCUGGUAGUCCAUACCGUAACGAUGAUGCUAGUGUUGGAGGGUUUCGCCCUUCAGUGCUGCAGCUAACGCAUAGCAUCGGCCUGGGGAGUACGCGCAGCUGAACUCAAGGAAUUGACGGGGGCC
rnacentral:rRNA from 2 species